rnacentral:misc_RNA from 1 species
ACAUCUCUCAAAAUGUUGAAUCUGUCUAUAAAUCAAUUAUAUGGUGAGAUCCCAAAUAACUUAUCCAAACUAGAGACCCUAGACCUAUCACACAAUAACCUAUCAGGUGAGAUCCCAGAGCUACCAUUGAAUCAAUCCCAGAUUCAGUCACUGAACUUGUCCCACAAUCAAUUAACAGGCUCUAUCCCAAAAUCUUUUUUGAAUUUGUCAAAAAUAGAGAGCCUGGACCUCUCUUAUAAC